rnacentral:lncRNA from 1 species
GCCGUAUUGACACUGUCCUCCCGUCCUGUCGGAGUUUGAUCAGCUGCUCCUCGCGCUCUGAAACUUCACACCGACUCUUUACGAAGAUGGCCGGACGGGACCGAGUGGUUCACCUGCUCAGACAGCUGGAGCGCGCGGCGUAAGUUCGAUAAAAGUUCGAUAAUCGAUCAUUAAAGAAAGAGUUUCAGAUAGAGGUGAGCUCGUGCAGCACGGAGCGGUGACGUUUAAAGAGCAGGACCGCCCACCAUGUUGUUUUUCUGUCUGAAGGGGAGAGGAGUCCGACCAAACCCCGUUUAAAAAUCUGAGGGUUAAGGAAAUCUGUGUUCUAAUGAGGGUUAGCCUCAGUCCAGAGAUCCGGUUUAAACUUUAAUUAUAUCAGUAUGAAGAGUCUGGACCAUCGGCCUCAUGAUGGACCAUGAAGAGGACUAAUAAACCCUUUAGAAACCGGGUCAAAGAGUUUGCUGUGUGGACCUGGGAGACCACCACGCAGACCCUGUUCUGUAAUCAGGAGACCCCGAGGACUGUCUCAGACCCAGUUACAGUUUUUCCUCUAAUAUAGACUAACACUCCAAAAAACUGAGUAGACCACCAAGAAACAAAGAUCCAGACUUUGGUCUGUCAGGGUCCAGACGGGACCAGGUCAAAAACUGGGUCCAGUGAGACCAACGAGACCAUCUCAUGAAAAAACAGCAGAGAUUCAGUUCAGGAGGGGGUCAGGGUUAGACCUUCGGGGUCAGGGUUAGACCUCUGGAGAAUUAAACUGUAAUUCAGUCAAAACCUGAAGGACUUUAUUUUGAAACUUUCAGGACUUUAUUUUGAAACUUUUAGGACUUUAUUUUGAAACUUUUAGGACUUUAUUUUGAAACUUUCAGGACUUUAUUUUGAAACUUUUAGGACUUUAUUUUGAAACUUUUAGGACUUUAUUUUGAAACUUUCAGGACUUUAUUUUGAAACUUUUAGGACUUUUUUUGAAACUUUCAGGACUUUAUUUUGAAACUUUUCGGACUUCACUUUUAUAACUUGAAUCUUGUUAAUCUAUAACUUCAGUCUCUGAUUCCAGAACUUGUUUUUGUUUCUUUAUUAGUGACUCUUUUUUGUUGUUGUACUUAUUUCUAUAAUUCUCUCUUUAUUAUUGAUUAAUUAUUGAUUGUUUAUUGAUUUAUUUUCCUCAGUUCUUCUCUGACUCCCUCCUGUCUCACACACACACACACACACACACACACACACUCACACUCACACACAGUGACUCUGAUCAGCUGUUUUUCUCCUGUUUCUUGUUUUUUACCUGCAGGUGCAGGAGCGUCUACCUGCACCGUGAGGAAGACAGACUACGCCUUUGAGGUGACGGCGGACACUGACCCCUGACCUCUGACCCCAAUAAAGAGCACUGAUUUAAAUCUGAUCUGAGGUCUGAUCACAGCAGGACCAUCUCUGAGGAGGUCUCAUGGUCUGACCUGCUGCACAGUUUCAGGUUCAGGAGAUUAGAUCAAUAAAUUCAGAUUUUAAAAAACGUCCUGAUGUGGGCGGAGUCUCAGGUGAGUUUCUCUUCAGACGUCUGCCGCUGUCACAGCCUGAGAAGAUUUCACCGUAGGAUAUCUGAGAUGAAGAUAUUGAUCCUCAGAUCUGACAGCCUCCUUCAUCACAGAGGAGAGUGACCCGUUCUUGAUGUGGGUCGGUACAGUAAUUCUGGUACCAGUGAGCGUAAAGACGAUGAACACACCUGUCCAAAUUUAAAUUUUUAACACCCUAUACUAUAGUAUAGGGUGUUAAAAAUUGAAAUUUAGAUUAAAAUUAAAAUUUUUGGUGUAUAUAUAUAUAUAUAUAUAUAUAUACAUAUAUGUAUACGUCUUAAUGAUAUGAUAAAACUGUCAUAGUAUAUGGUGUUGAAAAUUUCAUAAUUCAGUGCAAAAAUGUUUUUUAUUAUUUUAGUUUGAAAUAAAUGUCAUGGAAUAGCCUGAUAAAAAAUGUCAUUGUAAAGUUAAUACAAAAAUGCUUUAAUAUGGUAUGAUAAAAAAAUGCCAUAGUAUUGUACGAUGGAAAUGUCAUAGGAGGGUAUCUUGAAAAUUGUCAUAGUGUAGUAUAAUAAAAAUAUCAAAGUAUUGUAUGAUGAAAAUCUCAUAGUAUAGUAUGUCAAAAAACAUCAUAAUAUAGUAUUAUUAACUGUCAGAGUAUAGUAUGAUAAAAAUGUCGUAGUAUAAUAUGAGAAAAUGUCAAAGUAUAGUAUGUUACAAAAUCACUGUAAAGUAUAAAAAAAUAAAGUACAAUAAAUUUUCAUAUUAUAAAAUGAUGAAAA